UACAGAGGGUGCAAGCGUUGUUCGGAAUUACUGGGCGUAAAGCGCGUGUAGGCGGCUUGGCAAGUCCUGUGUGAAAGCCCUGGGCUCAACCCAGGAAGUGCGCAGGAUACUGCUGAGCUCGAGUCCGGAAGAGGAGUGUGGAAUUCCUGGUGUAGCGGUGAAAUGCGCAGAUAUCAGGAGGAACACCGAUGGCGAAGGCAGCACUCUGGGACGGUACUGACGCUGAGACGCGAAAGCCAGGGGAGCAAACGGG
rnacentral:rRNA from 1 species